rnacentral:rRNA from 1 species
AUUGAACGCUGGCGGCAUGCCUUACACAUGCAAGUCGAACGGCAGCAUGAUCUAGCUUGCUAGAUUGAUGGCGAGUGGCGAACGGGUGAGUAAUACAUCGGAACGUGCCCUGUAGUGGGGGAUAACUAGUCGAAAGAUUAGCUAAUACCGCAUACGACCUGAGGGUGAAAGUGGGGGACCGCAAGGCCUCAUGCUAUAGGAGCGGCCGAUGUCUGAUUAGCUAGUUGGUGAGGUAAAGGCUCACCAAGGCGACGAUCAGUAGCUGGUCUGAGAGGACGAUCAGCCACACUGGGACUGGAACACGGCCCCGACUCCUACGGGAGGCAGCAGUGGGGAAUUUUGGACAAUGGGCGAAAGCCUGAUCCAGCAAUGCCGCGUGUGUGAAGAAGGCCUUCGGGUUGUAAAGCACUUUUGUCCGGAAAGAAAUGGCUCUGGUUAAUACCUGGGGUCGAUGACGGUACCGGAAGAAUAAGGACCGGCUAACUACGUG